rnacentral:misc_RNA from 1 species
UGCUAAUGGCCUAUCAAGCG